rnacentral:miRNA from 11 species
AACAUCACUUUAAGUCUGUGCU